UAUCUAGAAGAUGGGGUGCUCGUACCAC
rnacentral:sRNA from 1 species